AUACGUAGGAUCCGAGCGUUGUCCGAAUUUACUGGGCGUAAAGGGCGCGUAGGCGGCCCGCUAAGUCUCAUGUGAAAUCUCCCGGCUCAACUGGGAGGGGUCAUGGGAAACUGGCAGGCUUGAGGGCAGCAGAGGGAAGCGGAAUUCCGGGAGUAGGGGUGAAAUGCGUAGAUACCCGGAGGAACACCAGUGGCGAAAGCGGCUUCCUGGACUGUACCUGACGCUGAGGCGCGAAAGCGUGGGGAGCAAACCGGAUUAGAAACCCCAGUAGUCC
rnacentral:rRNA from 1 species